rnacentral:rRNA from 1 species
GUGUCAGCAGCCGCGGUAAUACGUAGGAGGCGAGCGUUGUCCGGAUUUACUGGGCGUAAAGGGCGCGCAGGCGGCACGCUAAGUACCUCGUGAAAUCUCCCUGCUCAACGGGGAGGGAGCGAAGUAGACUGGCGAGCUAGAGGACGGUAGAGGGGGGUAGAAUUGCUGGUGUAGCGGUGAAAUGCGUAGAGAUCAGCAGGAAUACCCGUGGCGAAGGCGGCCCCCUGGGCCGAACCUGACGCUGAGGCGCGAAGGCUAGGGGAGCGAACGGGAUUAGAUACCCCGGUAGUCC